CUCAACAAAACUGAAAAUACUAGUAAGCAUAAAAAUUAAAUUGUUGAUAAUAGUUAGGGAUCUCUUGGGAAUUGCCUGAGAAGAAAAAUAUAAUGUUUGGCAUUUAUCUUAUCUAGUUGAUAAAGUGAAACUUGUGAUCUGUAGUAUAUUUUUUCUUAGUUGGACAAAAAUAUUGCUAUGCGUUACAAUUCAGGUGUUGGCUUAUGUUUGAAAACAUCUCUUGUUAUUCUUGAAUAUAUAAUUUGUGAUUUGGCUAGCAAAUUAAACUUGACUUUUUGGCUUUCAGAUGUACCUUGUAUGUGUGUUUUGAAGUAAUUUUAAUUUUUUGUGUUUUUCCAAGGUGGCCAAAAGUGUUCCAUUCUGAAUAAGUGGCUCAGAGUGAUUUUAACUUUUAACAGUUUUAAAAUACACACACAUACAUGUGCACAUAUGUAAAAAAAAGCUUCUAAUGUAAUUCAUUGGUUAUUUGGAUGCUGUGGUUUAAAAAACUUUUUAUGGGCCUUUAAUUUUUGGUGGGGAUGAGUGGGAGAUUAUCAAUUUAUAUGUAGAUCCUUGGGAACUGAUGCUAUGUGUGGUUAAGGGAAGUCUUGGAUGGCAAAGUAUUUUUAGGGUUUUUUAAUUUAAGUUUUAGUUUUUGUUAUUCUAUUUGAUUUUGUUAAUCUAUUUGAUUUCUAGAAAUAAAUUUAUUCAUAAUUUAAACAAAAUAAUUAAAAAGUGUCAUUUUUAUUGGCAGAAAAAUGAAUUAAAUAAAAAAAUUAAAUUGUCCUUCAUAAAAGACCUGCUUAUGUAAUAAAUGUGUUAUUAGAAAACUAGAGACAUUAGUGUAGUGGCUAAGCAAUUACCAUUUACUUAUAUGACCAUGUUGAGGGGGAUGGGAACUAUUCCAUUCUUAGGAUUUUUAAGUUCAUGUGUAGCUAUUUUGUGUCAGGAAUUAUUGGCAGACAUGAGAUUCUUCAUAGAAUUAAAAAAAAGAUUUCUAAGUUGAUACCUUUCUACUUUUUUUAAAAAAAGGUUAUAUUGAUGCCAAUGUGUUUUUUAUACGGAUAUUUCUUUGUAUUCCACUUGAUCCUCACCCCAUUGUCACAAAGAAAAAUUAAGUAAACCUAACUGAUACAGUGAAUAAAUGUUAUAUUUAGUACCUCUACUCACUUUUGAGAAGAAAGAACUGAUUUUAUCAUCUAUUUUUCAGAACCAGUGUUUACUAAAAGUUUCCUUGUCUGUUAUUUUCCAAAAAAGUAAUUAUGGAUAAUAUGAAUACAUAAAUAUUAUGCUUGAGUGUAUUUAUAUAUGCAUAUAUAUAUUUAUAUAUACAUGCACACAGAAACCAGUGUUAUUGAAGCACUUUUAUACGAUUUUUAAUAUUAUAAAUAAUUUAAAAUAUACUUUCAAAGUUUGGUACUGAAUGCAGAACACACCUGAAAUGAUGUUUAUUCUUUAGAAAGUACUUUUUUUUACAUCUAAAAUUUUCUUGUGCUUUCUCCAUGGUCAUAACAGGUUUGAUGACUUAACAAAUGAAUCUUUUCAUUGGUAAUAGCUUACCAUAUUCUUGAUUAUCUCAACUGAAUUACUGGAGAAAAAUGUGCAAAUUUGGCCUUCCAUUUAAGAAAUCAUUGCCACCUUUUCUACAUUACUAAGGUUAUGCUAGCUGAGAUAUACAGUUGUUAUUGAGAUAUUCAACUUAACAAAAGAUUCUAUCUGGGAUUUGAAUAUACCUUGAUUCAAUUUAGAAAGCCCCAUAUUCAAUAGAAGCAGUCUUGAUACACAUCAAGCAUUGUAAACAAUUUCUACAGUAUAUGUUCUCUCAACCUAAUCUAAUUUUAUUUGUAUUUCUGAUGUAAAUAUGAAGCUGAAGAAUUACAUAGCUCAUUCUGUAUCAGUGACUAUUAAUCUUGAAAUAUUAUUCUUUAUAAGGAAUAGAUUCUUUUAAAUAAAAUCCCUUUACAUAAGUUUUUCAGAGCUUGGAAAAAUGAUUACUCUUAACUUUUUAUUGUUCUAUUAUGUAUGUAGAAAUUAGGAUUAUGUUAUUGUUUAACACUUUAUUAACAACAGAUUAUUAUAGCUUCCACUUCAGUACUAGCCUGAGCUUCAUUUCAGGAAGCAUCACUAAAAGGCAUAAAUAUAAAAUAUACAUUAAUAUGAUGUAUAGUGGCUCCACACCAUAAGUUUGCUGAUAGUGGCCAAUGUAUUUCUGUUCAUUAUGUCUAAAUUUAAAGCAAACAAGGCUGAUACUUAUUGAUAUCUAAGAAGUGCUUUAUCAUGUGGGAAAUUUAGCUGGUAUGGAACAGUAAUGUCAUAAAAAAUGCAAAUUACAAUAUUAUAAAUAUAGGGUUUUACAGUUUUCAAAAAUGCUUUUUGGUGUUUGUACAUUUAUUGUUAUUUACUUAUAUAGAAUUGAUCAAAAUUUCUACCAGAGAGUAAAGGUACUAUUCAAGAUAUCUUAUCAUCCUAUUUGUAAUUUAUUUUGUACAACUGAGCCAUAACUAUGGUGGGUAAUUUGGAAUUAGAUCCAGUGAACUAAAUCUGUCUUCACUUUUCCCAUUCCUUCUACCAUCACCCUUUGCCCCGCUAUCUCUUGAAGAGAGGAUAUUUUUCCUGGGAAUGAUUUCUGGUACUUACCUUAGUCAUAAAGAUUAUUAGAUAUGUAUUUUUGUGUAAUUCUAAGCCCAUUUUAUUAUUAAAAUUUUUAAUGAAUGAAACUGUGCAAAAAUGUGUGCACUUCUUAGAACUUUGACAUUUAAAUAAUUUAAUAUUAGUGCUGUGUUCUCUGUAACCUUUGUGUGCUUCUAGAUAAUUUGGAUUUCUUCUCAAAAAUAAGUUCCAGGAUUAUAUUGUACCUUACAAUGUAAUUGUGUUUUCAUUUUCAGUAAUAUUUAAGGGCAUUAUUAUCUGAAAAUAUAUGCUUCACUUUUAAAUGUUGUAUUUAAUGGAGUUUGUGAACUAAACUAGUAGUAGUGACUUCAAAGUAGGAAUAUUGAGAAUUGGGAAUUUGUUUGUUGAACAGAUUAAUUCUAUAUGCAAAUUAAGAUGCAGGUAAAUAAUACGUUUUUGUGAAGUUCUGAUAUUUUAUCAAAAUUUUACUCUAGUUGUAGACUAGUCAAGUUAUAUUUUUUUCAGAUCAUGACUUUAGAAAUUAAGAAAAAUGAAAACUAUAGAACCAUUUUCUAUUUACUACACAGCAGCAAACUAGUCUCACUGUAGCAGUGAUUUUGUAUUAUCACAUGGCUUGUUAGAAAAAUUCACUCUGACUUUUGGUAUUAUAAAUUGAGUAUAGACAUAUGAAUGUCAGAUGUUAUUUUUAAUUACAUUGAAAGCCUAAAAUUUAGCUAAUACUUUUCACUCUCAUUGGUACCAGAUUUGUUCUUCUAAUUUCAACUCUUAAGUAUUGUUCAGGUAUAGUCAUAUUCUUGAGAAAACAAGAGGCAGUUUGGAUUUUCUUUGACAGUUUCUCUGGAUGGUGUCUGUUUUGGUUACAUUAAUCCUCUGUGUGAGAAGUAUAGGAGACAGCAGUUAUGUAUUCAUAUCUAAGUACCACAACUUUUGGGGACACUUAAUAGUUAAGUUUCUAGAGUUUCCUUGAUCUGUAAAAUGGGGAUAUCACUACUUUUUUUUUAAAUUUAAUUUAAAAAUUUUUUGGAAAAUUUUAAUCAGUCAAUGUAGAACAUUAUUCCUGGGUUACAAGAAUCAUAUUCUUUCCCUCAUCUCCCCUAUCUCUUCCCAUAACCAACGCGCAAUUCCACUGGAUUUUAUAUGUAUCCUUGAUCAGAACCUUUUUCCAUGUUGUUGAUGUUUGCACUAGGAUGUUCCUUUAGAGUCUACAUCUCCAAUCAUAUCUCCCUCAACCCAUGGAAUCGAAGCAGUUGUUUUGUUUUUCUUUUGUGUUUCUACUCCCAUAGUCUUCCCUCUGAAUGUGGAUAGCAUUCUUUCUUAUAAAUCCCUCCCAGUUGUUCUGGAUCACUGCAUUGCCAUUAAUGGAGAAGUUCAUUACAAUCGAUUAUACCACAGUGUACCAUUCUCUGUACAAUAUUCUCCUGGUUCUGCUCCUCUCACUCUGCAUCACUUCCUGGAGGUUGUUCCAGUCCCCAUAGAAUUCCUCCACUUUAUUAUUCCUUUGAGCACAAUAGUAUUCCAUCACCAACAUAUACCACAAUUUGUUCAGCCAUCCCCAAUUGAAGGGAAUCCCCUCAUUUUCCAAUUUUUGGCCUCCACAAAGAGCGCAGCUAUGAAUAUUCUUGUACAAGCCUUUUUCCUUAUUAUCUCUUUGGGGUACAAACCCAGCAGUGCUAUGACUGGAUCAAAGUCUUUUGUCGCCCUUUGGGCAUAGUUCCAAAUUGCCCUCCAGAAUGGUUGGAUCAAUUCACAACUCCACCAGCAAUGAAUUAAUGUCCUGACUUUGCCACAUCCCCUCCAGCAUUCAUUACUUUCCUUUGCUGUCAUAUUAGCCAAUCUGCUAGGUAUGAGGUGAUACCUCAGAGUUGUUUUGAUUUGCAUCUCUCUGAUUAUAAGAGAUUUAGAACAUCUUUUCAUGUGCUUAUUGAUAGUUUUGAUUUCUUUAUCUGAAAAUUGCCUAUUCAUGUUCCUUGCCCAUUUAUCAAUUGGAGAAUGGCUUGGUUUUUUGUACAAUCAGUUUAUUAGCUUUUUAUAAAUUUGAGUAAUUAGAUCUUUGUCAGAGGUUUUUGUAAUGAAGAUUUUUUCCCAAUUUGUUGUUUCCCUUCUAAUUUUGGUUUAAUUGGUUUUAUUUACAUCUUGUGAUUUUUUUUUCUAACUCUUGCUUGGUCUUAAAAUCUUUACUUUACCAAAGAUCUGACUAAUUUACUUAUAGUUUCCUUCUUUAUAUUAAAGCCAUUCACCCAUUCUGAGUUUAUCUUGGUGUAGGAUGUGAGAUGUUGAUCCAAAUCUAAACUCUCCCAUACUGUCUUCCAAUUUUCCCAGCAGUUUUUAUCUAGUGGGUUUUGGUCCCAAAAGCUGGGAUCUUUGGUCUUAUCAUAGACUGUCUUGCUGAGGACAUUUACCCCAAGUCUAUUCCACUGAUCCUCCUUUCUGUCUCUUAGCCAGUACCAUAUUGUUUUGAUGAUCACUGCUUUAUAGUAUAGUUUGAGAUCUGGGACUGCUAGGCCACCUUCCUUCACAUUUUUUUUCAUUAUUUCCCUGGAUAUCCUUGAUCUUUUGUUCUUCCAAAUGAACUUUGUUACAUUUUUUUUUUCUAAUUUAGUAAAAAAGUUUUUUGGUAGUUCGAUGGGUAUGGCACUACAUAAGUCAGUAAGUUUGGGUAGGAUGAUCAUUUUUAUUAUGUUAGCUCAUCCUACCCAUGAGCAGUUAAUGUUUUUCCAAUUGUUUAGAUCUAGUUUUAAUAGUGUGGAGAGUGUUUUGUAGUUGUGUUCAUAUAGUUCCUGUGUUUGUCUUGGCAGAUAGAUUCCUAAGUAUUUCAUAUUGUCUCUGGUGAUAUUUAAAUUGAAUUUCUCUUUCCAAUUGUUUCUGCUGAGAUGUCUUGAAGAUAUCUAGAAAUGCUGAUGACUUAUGUGGGUUUGUUUUAUAUCCUGCAACUUUGCUAAAGUUGAUUAUUUCGACUAGCUUUUUAUUUAAGUCUCUAGGAUCCUUUAAAUAUACCAUCAUAUCAUCUGCAAAGAUGGAUAGCUUGGUCUCCUCAUUGACUAUUUUAAUACCUUCAAUUUCUUUUUCUUUAAUCACUACAGCUAAUGUUUCUAGUACAAUGUUAAAAAAUAGAGGUGAUAAUGGGCAUCCUUGUUUUACUCCUGAUCUUAUUGGGAAGGCUUCUAGUUUAUCCCCAUUGCAGAUGAUGUUUGCUGAUGGUUUUAGAUAUAUACUAUUUAUUAUUUUUAGGAAAGGAUCUUCUAUUCCUAGUGUUUUUAAUAGGAAUGUGUUGUAUUUUGUCAAAGGCUUUUUCUGCAUCUAUUGAGAUAAUCCUGUGAUUUUUGUUGGUUUGCUUGUUGAUAUGGUCAAUUAUGUGGAUGGUUUUCCUAAUAUUGAACUAUCCUUGCAUUCCUGGUAUAAAUCCCACCUGAUCAUAAUGAAUAACCCUUGUGAUCACUUGCUGGAGUCUUUUUGCUAGUAUUUUAUUUAAGAUUUUUGCAUCUAUGCUCAUUAAGGAGAUUGUUCUAUAAUUUUAUUUCUCAAUUUUUGACUUGCAUAACUUUGGAAUCAGUACCAUAUUUGUGUCAUAAAAGGAAUUUGGUAGAACUCCUUUGCUUAUUAUGUCAAGUAGUUUGUAUUGUAUUGGGAUUAGUUGUUCUUUGAAUGUUUGAUACAAUUCAUUUGUGAAUCUUUCUGACCCUGGGGAUUUUUUCUUAGGGAGUUCUUUGAUAGCUUGUUCAAUUUCUUUUUCUGAUAUGGGAUUAUUUAAGAAUUCUAUUUCUUCUUCUGUUAAUCUAGGCAAUUUAUAUUUUUGUAAAUGUUCAUCCAUAUCACCAAAUCAUCAUCCAUAUCAUCCAUAAUCACAUAGAUUGCCAUAUUUGUUGCCAUGUAAUUGGGCAUAAUAGUUUUUAAUGAUUGCCUUAAUUUCCUCUUCGUUAAAGGCGAGAUCUCCCUUUUCACCGAUGAUACUGUUAAUUUGUUUUUUUUUCUUUCCUUUUUUUAUUAGAUUGACCAGUACUUUGUCUAUUUUGUUAGUUUUUUCAAAAUAGUCUUAUUUGCUAAUUCAAUUGUUCUUUCACUUUUGAUUUUAUUAAUUUUUAGGAUUUCUAGUUUUCAUCUAGAGAUUUUUAAUUUGUUCUUUUUCAAGUUUUUUUCAUUUGCAUGUCCAAUUCAUUGACCUCUGCCUCCCUAAUUAGUUAAUAUAUGAACUCAAGGAUAGAAAUUUCCCCCUGAGUAAUGAAUGCUUUGGCUGGAUCCCAUAGAUUUUGAAAUGAUGUCUCAUCAUUGUCAUUUUCUUCAAUGAAAUUAUUAAUUGUUUCUAUGAUUUAUUCUUUAACUAGUUUUGGAGAAUCAUAUUGUUUAAUUUCCAAUUAAUUUUUUAUUUGGCUCUCCAUGUACCCUAUUUAUUUAUUAUUUUUAUUGCAUCCUUGUCCUCAGGGAACUCACAGUACUUUAAAAAGGGAGACAACAUGCAAAUAAAUAUAAACAAAGCACGCUAUAUGCAGGAUAAUAACAGGGAAAGCACUAGAAUUAAGAGGUGUUAGGAAAGCCUUCCUUCUGAAGAUGAGAUUUUGGUUGGCACUUAAAGGAAGCCUGAGAAGUCAGUAAGUAGAAUAAAAGAGGGAGAAUGUUCUAGGCCAGGGGGGGAAGCUAGCAAAAAUAUUCAGAGACUAGAGAUGGAGUAUCUUUUUCAUGAAGCAACCAGGAGGUCAGUGUCACUGGAUUGAAGAGUAUAAGGUAGGGAGUAAAGCAUAAGAAGACUGGAAAGGUAGAAAGGAGAUAGAUUAUGAAGGGCUUUGAAUUAAAAAAGCAUUUUGUGUUUGAUCCUAAAGACAAUAGGAAGCCACUGGAGCUUAUUGAAUUAGAGGGUGACAUGAUUUGCCCUGCACAUUAGAAAGUCACUUUGGUAACAGAAUGGUGAAUGGAUUGGAAUGGGGACAGACUUGAGGCAGGCAGACAGCCUUCUCCUCUGCCCCUCAAGCAAGGCUAUGCAAUAAUCUAGGUGUGAACAGUUAAGAGCCUGCAGUAGAGUGGGUGGCAUUGUCAGAGGAGAGAAGGGGACAACAGAUUGGAUAUGAGGAGUGAGAGAUAGUGACCCCUAGGUUGUGAGCCUGAGGGACUGGGAAGAUAAUGAUACUCUUUAUAGUAAUAGAGAAUACAGGUGGUAAGGAAGGCUUAUGGGGACAGAUAAUGAUUUCUCUUUUGGGCAUUUUCAAGUAUGUAUAUUUUUAUUAUGACAACUAUCUUAAAUCAUAUGUAUAUUAAAGCUUGAAGAUAUCUAGUUCAAACUCCUCAUUUUAUUAGAUGAUGUACCAUUCCUGAUGUUAUCCCAAACUUGUUUUGUCCAAAAUGGCUCUCAUUUCUUUCCAACUGGACCUUUUUCUAGACUUUCCAUAUUUGUUGAUGCUACAUUGUGCUGUUAGUCAUGUGGAUUUGCAUCCUUAGAGAUAUCCUUGAAUCUACUUUCUUGAUCUCUUGUCAUUUUGUCAUACUACCUCUCAAUCUCUUUCUCUCCACUCCUAAAACCUAAGGUUUUAGGUUUUUAUCUCUUCUUGUUUUGACUCUAAAACUAGCCUCUUAAGUAGCUUCUCUGCAUCCAGUUUGUCCUUUUGGUAAUUUAUCCUCUAUAUAGCUGACCCAUUGAUUACUGAUAUUCUUUUUUUUUUUUUAUUAAAACCCUUACCUUCUGUCUUGGAAUCAAUACUGUGUAUUGGCUCCAAGGCAGAAGAGUGGUAAGGGCUAGGCAAUGGGUGUCAAGUGACGUGCCCAGGGUCACACAGCUGGGAAGUAUCUGAGGCCAGAUUUGAACCUAGGACCUCCUGUCUCUAGGCCUGGCUCUCAAUCCACUGAGCUACCCAGCUGCCCCCUACUGAGAUUCUUAAUAGACAGUUCUAGUCAUGCCCUCCUACCCUACUUGCUGCCUCUGAAAUGAACAUAAAAUCCUAACCCUGGCUUUUAAAGCCCUCUACAGUAGAGGUGUCAGACAUGUGGAGCUCAACACUCCAAGGUGCACUGGAAUCAGAUUAAAAUUUGAUUGAGAAAUAUUUAAAAAUAAAUACAAAUUCAAUAAAACAUAUUUUAAAACUAAGUCAUUGUGCAGCCCAAAGUUCCUAUUUUACAUUUGAGAUUGAUAUCAUUGCUCUGCACUAAUGGUUUCUACCUAUCUUUUCAUGUUAUUACUCUUCAGGUAAUCUCCAUUGUAGUUAGACUGGCCCAUUAGAUGAUCCCUGUACAGGAUAUUCUAUCUCUUAUCUUUGUGCCUUUGCAUGAAUGGUUCAUCAUGCCUAUAAAGGAUUCUCUCUUGACUUCUAAUAAGAUACCUAAUUAUCCUCAAAGAAUAAUAAUAGUCCAGGUGCUUCCUCUUACAUAUAUCCUUUUUCCUCUAGGUUACUAGGACGUUCUCCAUUCUCAAAUUGUGUUUUUAGUAUUUCAUAUAUACUUUAUAUUCAUAUACUUGUGUUUGAUAUAUCUCCUGUAAUGAUUAGGGGAGACUGAGGCAUGUAGAAAUUAAUUUCUUUCUACAAGGAGUAUUAUAUUUUUAGAGGUUUAUUAAAAGUUAAGGAUUAAAAGAAAAUACAGGAUAAGGAAAAUGUGCCUAGGCCAGGGAGGCCUAGACAAGACCUCACCUACAUUAUGGAAAGAGCCACGUCUGCCCCAAAAUGGAAGUCCAAAAGAGAGAGAGCUCAAAAGCCUUUGCAAUCAGCUUAAGUACCUUCUCGAUCUCGCCCACCUCAGAAUUCCGUGAGAUUACAAAGCAUUUUGGGGAAGUGGAGCAAGGACUUGUGGGGAUUGAAGUCCAGAGUUCAAAUCUCAAUUUUACACUCCUCAAUAGAAGGUAAACUUCUUGAGGGAAAGAGUUAAUUUGUUUUGUAUUUUUAUCCCCAAUACCUAGCCUAGCCUAGUGCUAUUUAUAUAGUAGGCACUUAAUGACUACUUCAGUUGAAUUGAAUUGAGUUGAAAUGAGGAAAAUGAGGCCCAGAAGGAAAAAGAAUGGUUUGUAAUUGCAUACUGCCAAAUUUUUCUCUAAUUCUUGAGGCAAAGGAUUUUAGUAACUACUUAGAAACCAUAUUAUCUCUGGGAAAUUUGAAAAUGUUUUAAUGAGCUCAAAAGAUCAAACAAAAAAUUUAGUAACUCGUUUUUAGCAAAGUUUUUAAAAACACAUCUUAUACUCAUCUUUUGGAUAAGAUGUAGAAAUAUGGAUUAAAUGAUAAUACAGUUAGAUUUAAUACUAUUUGGAUGGUCAGACUCAGAGUUCAUUGUUAGCAUGGCAAGAAUUCUUCAUUGGAGUGUUGCAGGUUCUGUAUCUGGCCCUGUGCUGCUUGAUAUAUUUUGUUAAAGGCAUAGAUAACAUGCUUAUCAAAUUUGUGUCACAAAACUAACUUGCACAUUGCAUGAUAGAGGCAGGAUUCAAAAUAAUUUUGAAAGACUAGAGCAUUGGACUGAAUUAAAUAGAUGUAAUUCAGUACCGAUAAAUGUUAAAUCUCAUAGUUGGGCACAGAAAUCAGUUUCACAAAUACAAGAUGGGGGUGGUAUGGUUACAUAGCUCAAUUAUAAAAAAGACCUGAAAGUUCAAUAUGAGGUAAAAUAGCAGUGUGAUUAUGACAGCUAAAAAUUAAUAUAAUCUUUGGGCUUUGUUAAAUUCAUCAUACAUUCUGAGAAUAGGGAGGUGAUAGUUCAUUGUAGUUAUAGUUAUAGUAUAGAUAGUUCAUUAUCACUCUGCCUUUGUCAGAGCUAAUCUGGAAUAUUGUAUUUAAUUUUGGGUAAGGACAUUGAUAAGCUGGAGAAUGUCCAAAGUAAAGCAGCCAAGGUGAUAAAGGGCCUUGAAUCUAUGUCAUAUGAGGUUUAGCUGAAAGAACUGGGUGUGGGUGGGAUUGUAUUUGUUUUGUUUGGUUCUACAGGAGAAAUUAGGACAGGAGUAAUGGGUAGAAGUUGCAAAGAGGCAAAUUUGGGCUUGAUGUGAUGAAAAACUUGGUAGCAGAGUGAUCUAAAAGUGAAAUUGGGUGCUUUGAGAAGUGAUUGGUUUCUUGGUCUGGAGUUCUUCAAGCAGUCUGAAUUGGGUAUGUUACAAUAGAUAUUUAUUUUGUGUGUGAUUUGAUCUAGGCAGCUGCUGAGAUUCCUUUCAACUCUUAGAUUCUCUUAUUCUUUCAUUUUGUGCAUGAAGAGGAAGAAGGCCCUUAAAUUUCUCUAUAUUUUAACAUUUCAUAAGUAAAUUUAAAUGUCAAAGAAUUUGCUAUGUAAUUCUUUAGAUAAACUAAGAAAGUAAACUCCUCCCUCCCAUCCUGUCAAAAAAAAAAUGCCUAAUACUUCUAGGCCUUAAGUAAGAUACAGUAUUUAUAUAAAAUGUCAAGCUUAAUUUCUAAUAAAGGGUUAUAACAUAGGUAACAAUAUAGUAAAAGAUGAUAGAUGUUGAUAAAAUGGUACAUCAGAAAGAGGUAGUAUUUAGAUCAGGAGUUCUUAAGCUUUUUUGUGCCCAUCUACUUCUUUGGAAGUUUGUUGAAACCUAUGGACUCCAUCUCAGAAUAAUGUUUUUAAAUAUAUAAAAUAAAAUACAUAUGAUUACAAAAGAAACUAAUGCUAGAAAUAAAAUUAUUAAAAGAAUUUUUGAAAGUUCACCUCAGCUUAAGAAUUCCUCAUUUAGGGGGCAGCUGGGUAGCUCAGUGGAUUGAAAGCCAGGCCCAGAGACAGGAGGUCCUGGGUUCAAAUCUGUCCUCAUAUACUUCCUAGCUGUGUGCCCCUGGGCAAGUCACUUAACCCUCAUUACCUAGCCCUAACCACUCUUCUGCCUUGGAACCAAUACUCAAUAUUGAUUCUAAGGUGUAAGGUAAGGGUUAAAAAGAAAAAAAAAGAAUUCCUUAUCUAAAAGUAAGAGAAUAGGCAAUAGCAUAUUUAAUGCAAAGAAGUCAAUGAGUGUGAGGAUUGGAAUAAAACUAUUAGAUACAUUGAUUAAGAGGUCAUAGGUGACUUUCAUAGGAUACUUUAAGUAGAGUUGUCAAAUGGAAAUCAGCUUGAAGGAGGCCAAAUAGAGAGCAGAUGGUGAGAAAGUAGGUUUCAUUGGGGACAGAAAAGUUUUUAGUGAAUAAAAUCCCUUUGAAAAUAUGCUUGACAAAUACAAAUAUGAUAUGUAAAUGAUAAAUGUAAUGGAUUCAGGGAAACUGAUGCAGAGUGAAGUCAUUCAAAUCAAGAGAAGAAUUUACAAAAUAACCACAGUAAUAUAAAGGAAACGACUUUGAAAGACUUCAAAACUGUCAUCAACAGAGUGACCAACUCUGAUUCAGAAGAUUGAUGUUGAAGAAUGCUUUCAACCUCUUAAAAAAGAAUGAGCUAAAACAUUUUCAGACAAAGCCAAUUUAUUGAUUUGUUUGGCUUGAUUAUACUUGUUAUAAAGCAGGGCAUCUGUUGUGUGAGGGUUGAUAAUUUGUAGAUAAUCAUAGCACUGCACUAUUAGCAUUGAUAGUCUUUCUAAAUUCUUCCAUUAAUAUUUAUCACAUGCCCCCUGGUUGUACUUUUCCUAUCCUAGUGUUUCUAACUCACUUCAGGUUUCCAUUCAAACCCCAUUCCACAUUGCUUGUUUUCUUCUCUCCAUUCACCUCAAAUCCUCUUCCUCUUAAUGUCUCAUUUCAGAGCUAUCUAUUUCUUCCACUGUGCUCUCUGGAAUGGCUGCUCUAUAGGCAGCAAACUUGCUUUAAGCUUAAAUCUUUUCCUUUUCUUCUGAUUUUCACUAGAGCAUGACUCUUUCCUGAUAAUACACCUGGGACUACUGCUUUUUCUAAUACUGGCUGCCUUUUCAUUUCCCUGACUCAAUAGUCAAGGAAGGGGAAAUGGAAUUCAUCUUGUUCCUUAUCUCCACUUCCAAGUUCCCCACUGUCACCAUCACUAAGGGACAUUUCAUUUUGAGGUUCAAAAAAUCCAUAUCUACCAUUUAGUCAAAAUCAGGAUAGCUUUUAUCUACAGACCUUCAAGACAUUCUUCUUUCCUCAGAGUUCAGCACCUUUCCCAUGUCCUACCUUCUUAGGAGAAGACUUCAGCAUUCUUAUUAUUACUCUAUCAGUACCGUAAUCUUCCACUUCAUUAAUUUACUCAUUUUCCAUGACCUGCCCCUCCAGUUCAGCUCAGCCACACACAAAGAUAUUCAUACCCUUGAUCUUGUCAUCAGCCAUAAAUGUACUACUAUGAUCAUCAUGAACUCUCAAAUUUCCUUAUCUGAACAUUCCACCUCUUCCUCUACCUUCCCUUACCAAACCCAGUUCUUCAUCCCCACAAUGACCUCUGUCUACUCCCUCAACCCCUUACAGUACAAUUCUUCUAAGUUAUCUCUCCUGUAGUAUCUACAUUAAUCUUUUCUCCUUCUUGACUCCUUAGUGAACUCUCAGCUAUCUUAUCAGUCUUGCUCUGCUAAGCCUUAUUCUUAGUUUAUUCCCACUACAUCUCUGGAGAGGAAAGUCAAAGCUGUGAACAAAGCCAGUAGUCUGGCUCCAGAAGUACCCAUGAGGCUGGGCACUCUUUUCUCUAUCUCUGAGAAGUCGACUGGGCUAGAACUAUGUCUGUUCCCCUGAAAUUUCUCUGGCCAAAAGUGCUACUAGUCUGAGUUCAGAAGGAAUACUGUUUCCAUGGAUACUCUUUUGUGGAAGCAUUUUUUGUAUUAGCACCUUUCCAUCCAAUGCUGUUUACACAAAAGAUCAUCACAAAUAGUGAGUAAACUCUUUUAUCCAAGCAAAAUAGCACAAAGAAAUCAGGAAAGUUUUACAAAUUAGAAUAUAACCAAAAAUAUGCAACUGUGAAUGAAAUCUCAAGCUAUAAAUGAGAUAGUAUCUCAGCUCAAACGGGGAGAGAGCCCAAUCUCAUCAGUGGGAAAGUUAGAGAUAAGCUAGAAAACAGGGACAUUUAUAGGAGCCUUAUAUUCCUUAUUUUAUUCCUUAUUCCUUAUAUUAUUUAUAUAUGUGUGUAUAUGUGCAUAUAUACAUAUAUAUCUGUAUAUACACAUAUUCCCGCUUUCUGUCUCCUAAUGUUUCUGGACUCAUGUCUCUUCCUGAGGAAGCUCUGACACCACCUUAAUAAGUGUCUUAGAUAAGUAUGCAGCAGAGUGCUCACCUUCUAUCAAUCACAUCAUACCUUUGCUUCAAGUAUUCAGCAGUGGCAAAAUGUUCUGCGCUUAAGUGGAAAUCUGAUUUCAGAAUCUUUUAUUCAAUGUGGGUUACCUUUUAAGAGAUUCUGAGAACCUUUAAAAUUUUGUCAUUGCUAGUAGCAAUGUCUUCUUCAUAUAUUUGGCCAGUUUUUUCUACUCUUUCCAAUUUCAUAUUAAAUUCCACUACUACUUCCUUGCAUAAAUUAUAUGGGAUAGUUAUGGUAAAAUAAAGAAUGCACUAGUUCUUUGAUGUCAUCAGUGAAAAUAGAACAAAACAGAAAAAAUAGAAAAUCAUUAGGGCAUCUAUUCCAUUUCACAUAUGUUUUUCUCCAAGAUUUACCUACAUAUGUAUAUUCUUUGGAGCAUUUGUUAGAUCUCAAGCCCAGCUCCCUGAAAUCUUAUGUUCUCUUCAUUUUUUUUCUUGGCUAUUUGAAUUGAUGAGAGACACAAUGAGAGAGGCAAUGUGAUAUUAUAGAUGGAGAGAUAAUCUUAUAGUCUGAAAGACUUGUAUUCUAGGGUUGCCUCUGACACUUACUGGGCACUUAAGCCAUCACUCUUAACCCCUCAGGGCAGGGCUUAGGGCAACUAAGACAAGAAGUUGCAGAGAAAGUGACCUGCACUGGUAGAGGGAAUUUGCUCAUUUUACCUGUACCAGUGAAAUCAGAGGUCUAAUCCUCAUACUUAUCCUUUAUGUGAAAUUCUGUUCUUUGUAGUUUUUUUCAACCUUUAUUUACCUUGUUUUGAAAAUCCGUGUUGUUGCCUACAGAUAUAUCUGAUUGGGUUGGAAAUUAUAUUAACUAUUAGUCUGUAUUCUUUAUGCCUCAUCUUAGUAUCAGUUUUAUUUCUCUAGAAAAUAGUGAUAAUCAGAAGCAAUUUUGGCAAGACAUAGUGGGGUUUCUAUUUUCUAUUCUUUGAGGUUGACUAAACAGUUUGGGUUAGAAUUUCUGUAAUAAAUCACAUAGUUUCUCAUCUUUGUUUUCUUGUAAUUUGGUGUUUUGUUUUGUUUUAAUUAUACAUAUAUACAGCUGACUCAGAAAUGACUCCUGUAAUCAAUCACUUCCUGUCUGUUAAGAACUAUGGAGUUUUGUUUUAAAAUUGAAAAGCAAAACAAAAUUGUUUGAUAUAUUCAUUAUGGUCUUGUAGAAAGUAUUAAUAAAGAGGAGUGAAUUUCAGUGAUUUACAAUUCUUUAGCUUUUUUCAUUUAUUGAUUUGGAACUUCUAAUUUCAAAUGUAGUUUUUGCAUCAUCCUUUGUUUACAUUUUUCAUUGAAGUCACUAAAUAUUGAAAUAUAUUAUGACUUGGUUUGUAACAUCUUUUCAGGUUCUUUGUAGAAUGUCCUUUGCAACAGAUGUUAGUUCAUUAGCUAUAACAAUCUGCAUGAGAUUUUCUUGUUUGUUACUAGUACUGUUACUGCUAGCUUGCCUACUUUAAGUACUUAAGUUUUAUAAAAUGCUUUAAAUGUUAUUUCAUGUAAUUAUAAUAACCUUGUAAGGCAAAUGCCAUUAUUAUUACCUUCUUUUUUAUAGAUGAAGAGACUGAAGGUGAGAGGUUGAGUCAUUUACUUGCUCAAGAGUCACAUAGCUGCAUUAUUGCUUAAGUGGGUUUUAAACUUCUGUUCAAUCCCACUGCUCUAUUUAUAUGUCUCUUUUAUUGUACUUGGUGAUGAGCAUUGUAAUAUGACCAGAUGUUUUCUUAAAUGUUGUUUUUUAGUACACCUUGACAGAUGAUGAAAUCAAUUCUUUUUUCUUUCUUCAUUAUAGUUCUAGAACUAUCAUUUCAUUUUAUUCAACUUCUUUUAUGUUUUUAUUUCAUUUAUAGGAAUAUUGGCAAUAUGAAUGUUAUUGUUUUCAUCUCAUAGAGGGUGAACUCAUUGGCUAUUGAACAAAAAUCUCAUAUUAAGAAUUUCAGCAGUUAAAUUAAUUGUUGUAGUGCACAAAUAGCACAUAAUAAAUUGGCAAUUCCCCCUCUCUUUACUGUUCUGUCUCUUGAGGAGUAGAGGGAACUAUUCAGGACGUUUGGUUAUUGUGUGUUUUUCUCUGGUUCAUAAGUUACUAGAGUCAAAUAAAAUUAUAUUACCUGAAAAUAUAAGGGAGGGGUGAGUAGCUAGGUGGCACAGUGGAUUAGAAUGCUAGGUCUUGUGUUGGGAUGACCUGGAUCCAAAGCUGACCUCUGAUACUUCCUAGCAAUGUUAUCCUGGGCAAGCCUAACCCUUGCUGUUCUUCUGUCUUAUAAAUGAUAUGAAGACAGAAGGCAAGAGUUUUAAAAAAGAUUACCUGGCAGCCAGCAUUCUGGUAAUAACAUCUUAAAUUUGCAUGUUAUAUAAGAACAAAUGAAAUAUAAUUUUUUGUAAUAUAUUUUUCACUUGUUAUUUUAUUAAAUAAUUAGAAGUCUUGGAUAUUUAGUAAUCAACGUUUCUUCACAACCUGUCAGUGAUAUUGUUCACAGAUUGUCUGAAAUAUUGAAAUAGUUUAACACACUUCCAAGAAAGACAAAGUAUUUAGGCAUCUGUUACACUGAGUAAAAAAGUAUGCUGAAAUUCAGAUUCAAUUGUUUGUGGAUAGUUUUUAUACCUUUUAAAUAUACUAAUAAGAAUCAGUCUUAUGUGAGCUCUAAUGAUUAUAGUAGCCUAGACUGGUGUGACUUUUAAAUAUGAACAAAAAUAUGUGUAUGUUUGAUCACAAGUCUAGUGUUCUGGGGCAUUUUGAUCUGAACAGGGAGUUUCUUAAAUACUUUAAAAAACUAUUCCUAUUUUAAAAACCAGGAUGUUAUUCUUUAACAUUAUGAAGCUUUUCAUGGACAGAAGUAUUAGCUGUCUAAUGGUGAAGUAUUAAGGAAAACAUUUUACUUAAAAAUUGGUUCUAUUUAUAUUUAUGUAGCCUUUAUGAGCUCCGGGAGGGCCUUAUCAGUCUCUAGUCUUACUGGCAACUUGGGUUUCCACACUAUAAAUUUACAUUUUUUUUUCAGGAUAUCCUAAGGGUUUGGGGAUAUUUUCCUAAUGCUAAUGCCUUAAAGCCCUUUUCUAGUUUGUUCUCCUAAAAUAUCAAUUGCCAAUUACAAUUUAGCCUUUUCCUUUGUAUUGGUUGACUUAAUGAUUAGCACCUUGGUAUCAUUUAACCAGUUAACACUAAGUAUCUUUUUACUAAUAAAAAGAAUGGAAAAUAUGUUGAUUAUCUCCUAAAGCAUGGCCUCUGAAAUCUCACAAAAUAUUGGCCUGGUUAUCUUCUUCUCUCCCCACCUUUCUCUCAAAGAAGCCCCAGUAGCAGAGGAGAGUUCCAGUAGAUGGCAGCAACAAUUAAGGAGAGAAGUGUGGAGACCUGUGGGAAGCUUAAGCUGAUGUUGGCUAUUAAGGCAAGACAGGAUGGGAUGGUGGAGGCAUUGUCAAGGCGGUUAGAAGGAAGGAAUUAUGAAGGAUAAAAUCCAGGAACAGUAAAGUUCAUAGCAUUUUAUAUUUAUAGCUGGAGUGGACCUUAGAAGCUGUCUAAUACAGUCUGCCAAGAAAUGUAAAGUGAGUAAGUCAGAUCUCCCAUUGAAGUUCUUCAGAUGCUCAUACUGGUGGGUACUAUUAUUUUGAAUGCUUCAAGGUCUAAAACACUGAAGAUCCUCUGAAUGGGAUCCAUAAUAAUAUGAAUUCAGCUGAACUGUCCACAGUUGAAUGUUUAAACUGUGCUAUGCAGUUGGAUGGACAGAUCAAAGAAUUGACCUGUCAUUGUUUCGAGAGCUUUAUGUUAAAAACCCAAGGAUUGUGACAGGUUAUACUUUGCAAGAAUGCAAGACUCAAAAACUUAGCUUAAAAAUAAAGAGAAAUUUAUUAAUUUAGAAGUCAUGUUGAAAUGGCUUGGAGACAGUGUGCAAAGGUAGACACUGCCUUCCUGAGAUGAGGUAAGGGGAUUUUAUGCCCCUUUCACAACAGGGGUUAUAGGAUAAGAAAAAGGGGGGGGGGGAGAGGAGAUCAACUGAUUAGGAAUGAAGUAAUUCAUUGAGGUUGGGAGGUUGGGGUUAAAUUCAAAGGAUGAUUAGAGUAAGUACCUCACAAUGCUAAUCAGAGUGAACCCCUGAAGUUAAUAUCUAUGUUAAUUGAAGAUCUAGAGGAAAGUCCAAAGGGGGAAUGGAUGGAUGCUCCUAGAAGGGAAUUCCUCAUGUCCCUUUUUACCUAGAACACUUCUUUAAUUUGGGGUGUCCAGAGGGAAACCUGUACUCCCAUAUCAGUACAUAUAUCUUCAGUGAUCAUCUCGUUCAGGAUUUAGUAGGAGGAUCGAAUGAAUAAAUUUUGGUUCUCAAGACUAAGAUUCUCUUUCCUUUGAACUUAGCGAUAGAAUCUAAUAUCACUGUUGUCUUUACAAUAGUAGUAUUUUUUUCUAACUAACAUAUAAGUAAACUUUUCCUGAUCCCCAUAGAUGUUAGUGCUUUCUCUUUCCUCAAAAUAUAUUAUAUUUAUUUAGCUGUUUAAACACUGGGAAGUGCAGACUUUCCCCCCUUCGUAGUCUCUGUAUUCCCAAUACCUCAUACAUUGCAUUAAACAAAAUAAAUGCUCAAUGUUGAUAGGAUCAAAGUGUUGUUAUAGGAUGAUUUGUUAGGAGGAUGUACUAACUUUUCUAUUUAUUUUGAUUUAUUAAAUGUUUACGUAUCUCAUUCUUCUGAGUUUUAUCAGUUGCUUUUAUUGUGUUUACUUACACUUGUCAUUUAAAAAAAAUUCCAGUUUUAAUAUUCGAUUUAUUUUCCAUUGUGGUCUCUUAGAUGCUACCAAAAAUGCAUUACAUCUUUACUUGUUUUACAUAGGCAUUUAAAUAAUGCUGAUGAACUAUGCUGAUAAAAUAGACUUUUUAUAUCAUUUAAUUCAAUCCCCUUAAUUUUACAGAUAAGGCAAAUGAAGCCCAUAGAUAUGAAAUGGUUUGCCCAGGGUCAUUUAGCAAAUAAGUGGAAAAGUUGGUGCUUUAAGCCUCAUCUUCCAAUUAAAAAAAAUCUUAAGAUCAUGAUUAUAUGAUUGUAGAUUUUAGACAUUAGAAGUCAUAUAAUCCAACUGCGGCCCAGAGAGGUUGUCACAAAUACAGUGAAUGGCAGGGCCAGGAUUUCAACCUGAGUUAUACUAUAAUUCCAAAUUCUAUUCUUUCCCCUUUGCUUUUUGCUACUUUAAAUGUAUUCUGUUAUGUAGAUAUUUAACCAGAUUUUGAUUGAGAAGCUCAGUAUUCCUUUUAAGUUAAUUUACAUUGUAUUGAUCAUAAUUUCAUCUAUAGACAUUUGAAAAAUAGUAAUAUAUAUUUAUAUUACAUUUUUUAGUCUACAGAAAGUGUUUGGUUUGGUUAUUCAUUAUAUAAUGACUUACUUAGAUUGUUGGAGCUGUUUUGAAAGACUCUUCCAAAGCCAAAGCAGGAAUCUCAACUACUCACUGCAAAUGCCAGGAAGGAAAUGAAUCUCUGGAACCAAUCUCUCCAGAAGCCAGGAAAGGAAUGAAUCUAGACCAUUGUGGUCUCUUUCUUUUAUGCUCCUUUUUUCCAUGUCACUUCCUGUCAUUCCCCCUUCUUCACAGAAAUCAAAGGCAGUCUUUCAGUUUGCUUAGCACGCUAUCACUACCAGGCCAGUAUCUGAAAAGACUUCAAAGAAAGAAGAAAAGGUCUUUUGUGGAGUUAUGUUCCAGAGGAUACCCCCCAACCCCAACAAUAGGUGAAAAUUUGUGAAGUAGUGGUGCUAUGUUUAUUUUAACAUAUAUAUGUAUAUAUAUAUAUAUAUUUUUAAAGCUUUAUAAACCCUCCCACUUUACUAUAAACCUUUUCCACACUCAUUAACCUUUUAAGCACUGAGACAAUCAGCGCCCAGGAUACAGAACACAGAGCUGUGGUUGGUUGCCUUUCAUUUGAUCAACCAGUACAGAAAUGCCUGUUUUGCUUUGUUCUCAGUCGUGUACAAUCUCAUGUGCAAACAGUAGUGGUGGUAUACUGUAUUUCCAUUGUGGACAGUAUGGUAUUCAUCUGCAAAACCCCACGAUAUAGCGAAAACUUCACAAUGCAGAAUUAGAUUUUUUAUUUUAAACCUGUGAUACCACAAUAUAGCAAGGGAUGACUAUGGUUGCUCUUACUUUUGUGUGUGUGUGUGUCAAAAAAUUAGAAUCUAAGAGGAUACCCAUCAAUUGAGAAAUGGCUAUGUAAUAAGUUAUGUGUAUAAAUAUGAUGCUAUUAUGUUUAAGAAAUUAUUUUUUGUUGUGAAAUGCAUUAUAAGAAUUUUUUUAAAUAUGUGAAAAAAUACAAUUAAAAUUACAUUUGUAAUAGUUAAAAUUAAAUUAUGAUGCUGCUAGUAGCUUUAGUAGAUUUAUUACAUCAAAGUUGUGAUAAUAAAGAGAGGGAUAUAAGUAGAGUUGCCUAGCCUACCACCCUAUGUGCCAUUCUGACGGAAUGAAGCUCACCACCACAGGGAUUUCCUCAGGUCCAGUCUCCAGUCAGAAGAGCACAAGAGAGAGAGACCAGAGCCUUGGUCUCGUCUUAUAAACCUUUAUAAUUCACCAUGUCACUUCCUGUCUCUCUGGUUUCUCUUUCCUGUCAUUGUAGGCUGGUCUAUGUGAAAGGGAAUUCUUUAUUCCCUUUAUCUAUGUUGAGUUAACACUCGUAAAAGGGAAUUCUUUAUUCUCUUUGUCUACUUUGAGUUAAUAUUCAGUCAACUCUUUCUUUUAGUACCCCUACUUAUUACCUAGCUAACUAUUAAGUAAAGAGAGCUCCACCCUUUUAACCCAAUUAGUCAGAAAUGUGUGAAUCCCAUGAUAAAAGAGUUUAUACCUUCAGAGGCCUAUAAUAAGAAUUAAUAACUUCAGAGGUGAAAACUGGAUCCCAUAAGACACCGGCUCCCUGGACAGUGUUGGGCAAUUUAGAAGCUGUGAUUGGCCCCUGUGAAGAGGGGAAGGGACAAGAAGCCACUAUAAAAGGCCCUGAAUUUCUGGGGCUAGGAAGUCAGCUUCAAGAAGAAAGUUGACUUCAGGAAGAGUCGACUUCAGGAGUCAUCUUCAGCUCUGGUUAUCUUGACCUGCCUCUUGUAGGGAACUUGGGUCAGUGAAUGCUAGCUGGCUUUCCUUUUCCUGACUUUCCAGAGAGAGUUUAACUUCAGUUGAGAGGGUUAACAAGUUGGGCCUGGCUGAGUUGAGCACUGGAACAAUAUUUAGAGUGAUAGGCUAGACAUCUUCUCUAUUCCUUUUUCUAUUUCUCUACUUUUCCUCUUUCUACCUCUUUUGUAAAUAAAAGCUAUAAAAAGUCAUUUUUAAUUAGAGCUAUAAUAUUUUAAAUCGGCAACCACCAUAUUUAUAAUUUUCAUAUAUUUUAGUCAAACCAUUUAACAUUUAAUUCCUACAUCUAUCACAUCUCAGGAACCAAUCAAAAGCCUCAAUUUGCCUAGCACUGCCCUGGGGGUAAGAGAUAGGGGCAGUACUUGUGUGGUCUUUUAUAGGACUAAGUGUUAAUGACUAAGUAUGAACUGUCUUGUUGGUGUCUUACUAAAUGUUAAGCAGGGGUACUUCAAGUUCCUGAUUAAGUCAAAAAUAGACAAAGGGAAUAAUUGACUUUCACAACUCCCCCUGUGUAUUGGAAGACAAGCACGUUGAAAUCUCCCAGAUUUACAUGCCUACUCUUCCCAAAGAAUCCCUUCAAAUAUAUAGUUUAUGCCUCUAAAGAUCUAGCUAAAUAUAAGAGGGAAAUAAAAGAGAAAGGAAAAAAUAUCAGUGGUUGAUAGGUGCAUUGACAAAAAGCCAAUUAGAGGCAAUCCUGUUUAGCAUAAGAGUUUACAUUCAGAAUAAAAGUGUUCAACCACUUUCAGUUCCAUUCACUACAUCCCAAACUUCAUUCUGGAUCUUCUCAUGCAGUGUAUGGUUUCCUCAGGCUUCUUUAUGGCACUUUCUUCAAAUGAUUCACUUUCUUGAUUCAGGGAGUCAGUGAGCUUCAUUUUCUGAAAUUUCUAUCAAAAAAAAACUUUAAAUAUUAGAUUUUACAAAAAUUAUACACAUUCAUGCAAUCUCAAUUCAUUUACCAAAAAACUAUUUUAUUGAACUAGAAAAAUAAAAUUCAUUUGGAAAAACAAAAAUGAAGAAUAUCAAAGCAAGCAAUGAAAAAAAUUAAUGAAGGUGGUCUAACAAUAUCAAAUUUCAAACUAUAUUAUGCAAUAAUUCCAAAUUUUUGGAAAGAGUUUUUUGGUAAAAAUUGUGUGGAAAACUGGAAAACAGUUUGACAGAAACUAGAUAUUGGCCAAUUCAUAUCUCAAGAUCAAAAUGGAAACAUGACCUACGUAGAUAAAUAAAGGGAGAUGUUAUAACCAAAUUAGAAGAAUAGGGAACUUAUUGCCUAUCAUUUAUAGGUAGAAGAACUUGAGAAUAAACAAGAGAUAGAAAGCAUUGUGAAAUUUAAAACAGAUAACUGAUUACAUUAAAUUGAAACGUUUUGUACAAAUAAAACUAACAUAGCUAAGAUUAGAAGGAAUACUAUAAGUUGGGAAAACAUUUUUAUAUCAAUUUCUUGGACAGAAUUUUCAUAUCUAGAAUAUGUAGAGAACUGUGCCAAAUAUAUGUCAAAUAUGAACCAUUCCCCAAUUGAUAAAUGGUGAAAAGAUAGUAAUAGACAGUUUUUAGAUGAAGAAAUCAAAGCUAUAUAUAAUUAUGAAAAAAUGUUCGAAAUCAUUGAUUAGAGAAAUGCAGUUCAAAUGUUUCAAAUCUAUCAGAUUGGCUAAAAUGAUAAAAGGUCAAAAUGACAAAUAUUUCAGGGGAUGUGGAAAAAUGAGGACACGAAUCCAUUUUUGGUGCAGUGCUGAACUGAUCUAAUCAUUUUGGAGAGCAAUCUGGAAUUAUACUAUUCUCAAAAGAGUUAUAAAUGUGUAUUCCUUUGAUCCAGCAAUACCAUUAUUAGGUUUAUUUCCUAAGGUGAUCAAGGAAAGAGAAAAAGAAACUUAUGUUCUAAAAUAUUUAUAGCAGCCAUUUUUGUGAUGGCAAAGAACUGGAAACUGAAGGGAUGUUCAUCUGUUGGGGAAUUGUUUAACAAAUUGUGGCAUAAGAUUGUAAUGGAAUAUUAUUGUGCUAUAAGAAAUGGCAAACCAGAUGUUCACCAAAAACCCUGGAAAGACUAAUAUGAAGUAAUGCAAAGUGAAGUGAGUAAAAGUAGGAGACUGUUGUAUGUGAUAACAGCAAUAAUAUGUAAUGAUCAAUUGUGAAUGAUUUAAUUAUCAGAAACACAAGGAUCUUGAAUAACUUAAGGGAAUCAUGAUGAAAAAGGAUACCAAUUUAGUACUGAUGUUGUCAUUAUGUUUUGGAGAUAAAAGUUUCUGUAACCCCACCUUCUCUCAUUCUCCUCCCCAUACUGCGGUCAGGAAAAGCCACUCAUUACUAAGCUUUACUUUUGUCUUUUUUUUCUUCUACUUCAUGUGAUUAUUAAUAAAUUUUAUAAAAUAUAAUACUUGGAGUUAAUGGUUAUUAAUUUUAAUCUUAGAAGGGGAGAAAGGAAGAGAAUUUGGCAAUGAAAAUAAAUGAAAAUUGAAUACAAAUAUUUUUUAAAGCCUUGAAAGACUUGCUUGAAAUAAUGCUAAGUGAAGUAAGCAGAACCAAAAUAAUUUUUACAGUAACAACUUUCAAAGCUUUUAGAACUGUAUUCAGUAAAAUGACUGUUCAUGGUUCCAAAAGACUUGUAAUGAAACAUGCUCCCCAUUACAAAGAAGUGAUAGAUUUUAGGUACAUAAUGAGACCUAGAAUGAGAUCUUCAAGAAUUUUUUAUUUUUUUCUUUUCUUCCAAUGAGACAGGGAGGAUAGAGAGAAAAUAGAUUUCUUAAAUUUUUUUUUUAAAGUGUAAUGGAAAAAAUUCUGUAGUUUUGAAAUGUCAUAUGCACUUUCAGAUUAGGUUAAUUGAUUAUGAGUUUUGCUUAACUCUUUGUUACAAGAGAUUUCUAAUGAAUAAUUUGUAAAGUUUUGAAAUGUAAAAAUAACAUUUUGGGUACAAUUUUUUUUUAAAGGAAAGGCUAUAUCUAGUCACACAUGUAUAACCUAGAUCAAAUUACUUACCUUCUUCAAGAGAGGUGAGGAAGGAUGCAGUGAGAAUAUGAAGCUCAAAUUUUUAGAAAAUAAAUAUUAAUAAUUGUUUUUACAUGUAAUUGUGAAAAAUAAAAUAUGUAUUUUUUUAAAAAGGUAUGCUUGAGCUGGACCUUAGAGAAGGAUUUAAACAAAAAUAAAAGAACAGUCCAUUCCAAAUAUGGGGGAUGGCAUUUGCAAAUCCAUGGAAGUGGGUGGGAAGAUAGAAUGAUAUUAGGGAACUGAACAUUUUGCAAGAAUAUAGUUUGUGAAGAAAAAUGCCAUGAAAUCUAUUUAAGUGGCUUCAAGGUAGAUUGUAGGUGGCCUUGAAUGUAGGGCAAAAAGUUUGUAUUUAAUUGAUAGGUGAUAUGGAAUGCCUUUGUCAAAGGUUUGUGUUUUUUUUUUUAAUUUACUGAAUGAUAUAUUCUGAUUUGUGCAUUAGGGACAUUGCUUUAGAGUUGUGUGAAUUUGAAAGGGGGAAGACUGAGGCAGAGAAACUAACUAGUUAGGAGGUUCUUAUAAUAGUUCAUUGUAAAUGGUGACUGGCAGUAUAUAAAAAAAAAGUUAAAAAACAAAUGUCUAAAUGAAGGAGGAAAAAUCUUGACUUAAUAUCUAGUGUUCUAUACCAGGAUUCUGCCAUCUCUAAAAAGAAGUCAGGGAGGUCUCUUGUGUUUUUUGGGUGCUUCAAGUUUGAUCAUUAUAAUUUCAUAGUAUUCAGUUUUUAUUGUUGUUCUUGGUUCCAACUAUUUAUAUUUUAGCCAUUGUGUACAUUGUUUUCUUGGAUCUAGUUUAUUUCACUUUGUAUCAAUUUAUCUAAGUCUAUGCUUCUCAGGAUUAAUCAUGUUUCUCAAAAUUUACUUUAAAAUAAAUAGUAUAUCUAGUUGUAGUGAUAAGAAGCAUCCUAACUUUAUUCCUAAUCUUAUUGUAAAUGCCUCUACUUUAUUCUAUUUACACAUAAUGAUGGCCUUGGUUUUAAUCCGAUAUUACUUAUAUUAAGGAAAAAUUAAUUUAAUCCUAUUUUUCUUGUGUUUUUAAUAAGACUUUGUGCUUUAUCUUGACAGGAAUAUCUGUUGAUAUAGUCAUAUGAAGUUAGUUCAUUUAAAUAUGGUCAUUUGUGAAUUUUCCCCAAUAUCGAACUUACUCCUUUAUUUCUGGUAUAAAUCUUAGUGCAUAAUUUUUGUAACUUGUUGCUUCAGUCUCUUUAUUAGUACUUUAUUGACAAUUUUUGUGUCAAUGUUCAUUUAGGUUAUUGUCUAACCUUGUUUCUCUAUUUUGACUAUUGUUUUUAGGUAUUAAGACUAUAUUUGUGUUUUUUCCCCAAAUAAUUAAUAUUCAAAUUAAUUACUAUUUGAAUGUUUGAUAUAAUUUACUGUUCAAUUUAUUAAAUGCUUUGUUAAUUAUCUUUUUGUGGGGUGAGGGAGAAGUUCAUUUAUGAUGUUUUCAUUUACUGAAUUCUGUAUCAUUUUUGAUACUAGUAAAUUGCUUUUCCUCUUUCAUUUAAAAAAAAUCAAAUUAGCUAAUAGUCUAUCAAAAACCUUCUUUCUCCCCCUCUCUCCUUUAACCUCCCUCACUCAACUUUUGUUUUACUUAUUAAUUCAAAGGUCUUUUUUUUAAAUUUUGGUAAUUUUGGGGGGGUUUUCAGAAUAUUCAUUGAUGUUUAAUUGUAGUUUUAAAAAAUCUAUUGGCUUUCUCGUUUAUGAUCAAUUAAUUGAUUUUUUUCUUUUGUGGAUGAAAAUGUUUAGAGAGAAAAAUUUUAUUGUAUGGAAUUUUUGAUUGCAUCAUCAAUAUUUUGAUAUGUAGUCUCAUUAUCAUCAAUAUCUUUAGUGAUAUUAUUUCUUGUUUCUGUGAUUUGUUGUUUGAUCUACCACUUCUGUAGGUCUUCAUUUAAUUUUUAAUCCUUUCUUUAGCAGGCCUUUAUUAACUAAUUUAUAUUUCAUUAAGUUCAAUAAACACUGUGUUGAAUAUUUCUGCUUUUUUUCAUUUAUUUGAGAUGCAUUUAUGCCCUAACAUGAGCAAUUUUUGUGAAAGUGCCAUUCACAUAUGUACGUAUUUCUGUUUAUACCCAUUUAUUAAUAGCUAGUAGUUGAUAUGUUGCUUUUAAAAAUUCAGUUUUUUAAAGGUAUUUUUUUUUAAUAGAUUUCUCUAAAUCUGAAAGAGGUACAUUAGGACCUCUUCUGUUACAUUUUUACUCUCUAAUAUUUCUCUAACUCAUUUUACAUUUACUUUAGGUUAUUUAGUGCUAUGCCAUUUGAUGUAUAUAUGUUAUGUUUUAGUAUAAAUUCACUGUCUAUGUGACCUUACAGCAUAAUGUAGUUUCUCCAUUUCUUUUAAUCAAAUGCGUUUUUGCUUUGUUUUGUUUGCGAACAUGAUUGCUAUCACCUGCCUUUUGAAUUCAUUUAAAGCAUAAUAGAUACUUUUCUAGCACUUUAACUUUAUGUGAAUUUGUAUUGCAAGCAACAUAUUGUUGGGGUUUUUUUGGAAUUAAUUCUGCUUUUCUUUUUUUUUAUCAGCUAAUUUGCAUUCAAUUCUGUUAUUACUUUCUUUUAUCCUGUACUCUUAUGCUUUUUACUCUUUGCUUUCCAUACUUCACAAAAAAUGUGCUAGUGCUUUAUUUUCAAAGCAUUCUGGAAAAGUCAGUCACUGUGUUUUCCCUUUACAACCCUCCCCCCCUUUUUUAGUUUUUUUUUGAGUUGUCAUAUGGAAAAGCUGGACUGUAGUUUUUCCUCCUACUCUACCAUCUUUUGUUAGUCUCCGAGUUGUGUUUUCUAGUAUAAUCAAGCCAUAUUUAGAGUAUAUGUGUCUAAACAUAUUUAAAUAAUUUGACCACUUAUGAUUAUGUGGACUUUUUAUCUUGCAUUUUCUUUUAUGAUACCUUAUGGGUAAUAGCUUUGAUUUGAUAGCUAUUCUGUGAUAGGGAGUGUAACAUGACAUUUUGCUUUCUGAUGUUAUUUCCAGAAAUGCAUUAAACUAUAAAAGUAGAGAUUGCCCGAAUUCUGAUGUAUCUUUACACAUAACCAAAUCUUUAUAGUAUAUAUACAGUCUGCCUUCUAGAGUGCUUUACAAAUCUUGAAUUGCUAUAUGUCUGCCAUGAUUAUUAACUUUAUUAUUACAAAUAGCAAUAAGAUGUGCAUUUAUUUUUGAACUGCAAAGAAUGCAAUGUUGUUUUUAUUAUGCAUGCAGCCAAAAUAUUUUUUUUCAGGAACAUAUUUUCAAAAUUUUAAUGAAAUGUAAUGGUAGGGUAAUCGGUAAAACCUGCCCUUGAUUAUUCAUACUGGUGGAGAGAAGAUCAUUUCCAGAUGAAUUCUGUUCUUUGUCUUGUGCUUUACUAAUUACAUUUCAUUAUAGGUGUGUCUGAGGUUCUGGGGUUACUUGUUUAACUAAAUCCUGAAAUUACUGGUGAGGACUCAGUGUACACUACAGUAUUUGGAGUUGAAGCAACAUAAGUUUGCAUUUAACUUCUCUGGUCCUUUCUUUUCUGAUCUGUAAAAUGUGGGGAUUAAAUUAGAUGACCCUGAGGGUCCCUUCUAUUUUCAAAUCUUUGAUCCAAUGAUCUGAUCUUUUAAGGAUCUUUGAGGCACCUUUCUCCAUAAAGAACCCCUUCUUUUACUUUUUCAAGAAUUCGCUCCACAUAGGCUGUACUAAACAAUUCUCCUCUGGAAAGAACAAAGGAAAUGCUUAAGGAAUUGGUUUAAAAGUAAUUCUCCUUAUGAUUUUUUUUAAUUGGCUAUAAAUCUAUAUUAAUGUUUUAAAAGGAAAGGAAACAAUGCCAAGUAGUUCUUUAAAGAACAGCUUAUGUGUAAUAACAUUUAUUGCAGUUUUCUUUUUUAUUUUCCUUAAGCUUUGUUAUAUGAAACUCAUGGUUUUAUUUGUUUUUUGGAAAAUAGAUUGUUUUUUUUUUAAAUCCACCCUAAUCCUUCAUUUAUAAUAUAGAAGUUUCUUCUAGAGUUAAAAGACAAUUCAAGAAGAACUUGUAAUUACUACCACUACUUCUCAGAACUUUAGUGUUGAUACCUUUUCAACCUAACUGCUUUUUUUUCUCUUGGCAGUCUAUUGAAACUGGAAGCCUGCUAAAAAUAAUCUUUUUUUAAAAUUACUAUUAUUGUUAUUCUGGACCUGUGAUUUUAUCUCUGUAGGAAAACUACUUCUGUCAUUGUAGAUAAGCAAGUGUCUGCACCUUCCCUUUUUAAAGUGCUGCUGCCCAAGGGCACUGAGAGCUUAAAUAACCUAUCCAAAGUCACUUGUGAAUUGUAAAAAUAGUCAUAUGUUUGAGUCACUCCCCUGAUUUGCUGAUUUAGUUAACUUGUCAACAAAAGGAACUAUUCAUGUGGCCUGGCCUUUCUGUGAUGUAAUGGUUAUAGUUAUGAUCCUUUUGAUCAGUUUCUUUUGUUAGACAAUCAGAUCAAACCACCCUUUUUAAUAGUACAUUCUUGAGUUUUGACUAGAAUUCAAGUUAAGCUCACUGGCAUAGAGUUUGCAGACUACAUUCUCUUCCCUUUUUGGUGGUGGUGGUGGGGAAUGCCAAAAUUUCUUCAUGAUCUUUGAUCACUGUUAGUUUACUCAUCAAUCAUUUCGUUCCAUUCUUUCUAACUCCUUCAGAAAUAAUUUCCUGAUGUUUGGAAUCAUCAUGGAUACCUAAAGUAGGCUCUUACUCUGUCUGUAUUUAUACUAGAGAUAAAUUAUCUGUUUUUGUUUUUCCUAGUUCAAAGAUCAUUGUCCUUGUCAAAAAAAAAACAAAAAACAAAGCAAUACAGAAUUGAAUAUCUCUGUCUUCAGUCUUCUGUUUUCUUUGUUCUGUGACCCACCAUCUUUCCUUUCACCUCCAACAGCAGUAUCUUAUUUCCUCUAACACCUUUUCUCCAAUACUCCAAAUACUCAAAUAGAUCUGUGAACUGAUGGAUUUGGAAGUUUCUGGUUAGGAUGCAGAUUGCAAUCCACCCAUGACUAUCUAGGCAGUCUAGUUCUUAUCCAUGUUGGACUAUUAAGUUUGUCACAGAGAAGGGAAGGAAGGAUGAUUUAUUAAAUACCUACUAUGUCUUAGACACUAUGCUAAGCAUUUUGCAAUAUCAUUUGAUUCUCACAAUAACCCUGGAAGUUGUUGCUUUUAUUAUCCCCAUUUCAUAGUUGAAGAAACUUGAGGUUAAUUGACUUGUCCAGGGUCACUCAGCUAGUACAUAGCUGAGACUGGAUCUGUUCUUGAGUCUUUCUGAUAUCAGGCUUAGUGCUAGUCAUUGUGCUACCUAGCUAUCUAGUGUCUAUCCACUUUGCUAGAGGCCUUCCUCACUUUUUUCUUAUAUCUCAAGGAUACUAAUGCAAUACUUGGACUGUCUACUCAUCAUCCUUCAGUUCUGUCAUAUGAUCUAUAUAUCUUCUAAUUUUAUUAUACAUCUUCUAAUUUUAUUAUACAUUUCUCUGAUGACAUAUCUGAACUCCUUCAAAGCUCUUCAAAAUUCUUCAUUGGUUGUGUAUUGCAGAUUUUUUUAUAGUUUUCAUUGCUUUAUAUAUGAUAUUCAUUUUUAGUUUUUGGUAGAAUGGUAUUCCACAUCCACAGUAAUACCAGUAGUAUAUUGAUAUUAAAAUGAUGGGGCAUUUGCUCUCUUGUGAAGUUCAGGAGUCAGGUCCUUCUUUUCAACUCAGCUCAAACUCAUUUUCCAUCCAUAUUGCUUCUUCAAAAUACACAUGCUGCUAGAUAAAUAAAGGUUGUUAUUUAGGCAAUAAGAAAUCUUCAUCCAUUUGGUCUUUCUUAUGUGAGUGGUCAUAUCCAACUCUUUUGGGUGAUGAGAUAUCUCUUCUGGAAACUGCAGUGAUCCAAGAUUUGAUACAAUCAGCAUAGUGUCAUCCAUAAAGGGAAGCCUUUGGAUGACUUCACCAUCCACAGGGAAAGUGUAAUCUUCAGGCAUAAUGAUAAAUACUUCUGGUAAGCAUAAUUCAAAAAAUCAGUCAGGAUACUUUAAAACAUUUACAGAGAUAAUCUUGUUAAAUGAUCCUCAGAUUAUAGUUAGUAGAUGAAGAAUAAGGCUGGAUAUCAUCUUGCUUAAGAAUCGGUCAUGUAGCAUUUUGCAGUAUUGAAUGAAAUAUUUUUUCAUAAUUAAGAGAAAUAUAUUAGAAUUUUCAGUUAAUUUUGAAAUGGUAAACGUCAGUAAUUGGUAAUACACAAAAUGUAUUUUUCUCUUCUGUAAAUGAAUUAUGAGGUUACAAGUCAUACAUUUUUACCAGACUUAAGUUUUUAUUUUUAAUAAUUUGUAGAGUUUUGAAUAAAAAGGGCCCAACUCUGUCUCUCUAGGCCUCUAUCUCUCAUAUCUUUUAUCAUCAGAUGAUUUAAGAUAAUCUUAAGUUAUUAAAAUGGUAUCUGACUUCAAACUUUUAGUGCUGUUUUAAGCUUUGGUAGCUGUGUAUAACCUUCACUAGCUUAAAACUGCACUAAAAAUUUUGGGAUACCCUUUAUGUGUAAUAUUUCAAGACAUUUUGUGCUUCUCUGAGGAAAAAGAAUGCUUUCUACAAACAAUGGGAAAAUAACCAGUGUGUUAUGAUAUAUAAUAGUUUAUAAAUGGUUUUUAAAAAUAAACCUUUUUUUUUUUUGAUCUGGACCUGAGAAUUCAUCCAUGCCAGAAGACUCCAUUGUGUAAACUUUCCUCACAUGUGUAGAUGGGCAAAUUAUGCAUAACCUGUAUAUUGACCUGCAUGUAGAGUUACUUGGUUUAUUCAGAAGGUAAGUGAUUUGCCCACCUAUUAGGCAUAAGAUUUUGAAAUUGAACCCAGAUCUUUCUCUCAGGCUGCUUCUGGGAUAUAGCCAUUACCAAAUGAAUUUAAAUCUUCUUUAAAAGGAAAGAAUAAUCUUAGUGCUUACAUAAAUAAUUUUUCAUCAUUGCUCAUACAAGAACAGUGAAAAUUCCCUGGUACAGUAAACAAUUUUUUAAAAAACUGUUGGCAGAACUAAUAGAUCUGAUAGUCCUUGACUCUUAUGUUUUAAGACUUGAGUUUCCUUAAAUUUUUUGCAGUUGGAGAAUAAGCAUUUUUUAAUCUGGUGAGAGAUUUAUUCUGAUUUUUAGUCUUUGUAAACAAAGACACGACAAAUUUGCUAAAAAUAUAUUUUAUAGUGUUCAUUAGUACUACUUUUGAAAAAAUCUUGUGGUUUCCUUACAAGUACACAAAAUUAUAAAAUGAGUAUAAGCUUUAUUAGCUGAUAAACAUGUUGAUUCAUUUGGCUCAAAGCUCUUGAAUGGAGCCAAAGGGGCACAGAUUGUUCUUUACCCCACCCAGUGGUAGAAUGUUUUUCUUCCUUUCCUUCUCCUUGAGGGAAGUGAACUGGAACAAGUGACUCCUCUCCUUUAAUCUAUUUUCAAGAAUGCUUAGGAGGAAAAAAGGAGAACAAUUUCUCACUUUCCUACUUCUUUCAUCUCUUCUUUGUGGGUCAUGAGAUAAGGAACACAGAUUUUAUAUAACAAUAUUGGAAAAACUUUGUAGGGCUUUAUGGAAAAAAAGGAUAAUGUACAAUGGCAUAAUGGUGACUUGGCUGCCACUUACUUUCCACAUUUCUAUUCUAUAAGAUAUACCUACAUGCUGACUUUGGGAAGUGGAUUUUAAAUCCCAUAAUCUAGGGUUCUACCGGGCAAGUUGACUCAAGUUAGGAUAUUUUAAAGAAUAAAUUCUAAUAACACAAACAUUCUUAGAAAUGUUUGAGGAGAGGUAUGUAUAGGUGUACAUGGAUUAGAACAACUAAGAUUUUAAAAGGACGUUUCCUGAAGGGAUAGGGUGAAUAACUGAGAAGCAGUAAAAUAUAGUUACCAUGGUCUUUGACCUACAAUAAGCUGGAACUUAACAGUAAUGCUUCUUUGAUAUUUAAUGGAUCCAUGAUCUCAUAAAUUUUGUCAUCUUAUGUUGUAUAGUUUUUGUUUGUGUUCUAUAAAUCUUUCAGAGAAAAUCUACCCAAUAUGUUGGAGGCCUUUCUUUUGGACUUCUAAUUUUGUUAAUCUCAACUCAGUAUUUAGGUUGACUGUUAUUUCUUUCUUUGCUAUGACAGACUUUCUUUAUUUUCUAAGGAAUAUCUCUUGGGUGAUAUAGUAGUUAAAUUAGUCUUUGCAGAUAGGCUGAAAAAUAGUGAUUUCUUUUGUGUUCUCUUUUUGAAUACUCCUGUCACUGUCAUAUUGUAUAUAGUUAUUUACAUGUCAUUUUUACUCUUAUAAUGUGAGCUCCUUGCAGGCAGGCACCUUGUUUUUACCUUUCUUUUUCAUCACAAGUGCUUGGUAUAGCAUGAGACACAUAUUAAGGCUUAAAUGUCACCUGACUAACUCAGCUAACAAUGUUUUUUCCUAAAGUUUAAGGUCUGAUCAUGUCACUAUGCAGUAAGUUCAAGUGGCUACUUGGUAAAUUCCAGUUACUUUGAGGACUAUAAAGUCCUCCAUUUGGCAUUUAAAAUUCUUUACAACUUGACCUUUUACUACCUUUCUAAUUGUGAGAGGACCAUGGUUCCAUUUCCCUACAAUAGAGAUAAAAAACAAACUAACAAAAAACCAACAAAAUUGUUCUUGGCACUUGCUUGACCCUUACCUUCCUUGAUGUGGCUUUUUGGUCAUUUGAAGGUAUAAAAGAUCCCUGGAUCUCUCAGACUUAGUGGACUUCUGAGGACUGUUUAGAUUAAAAUUUAGUUUUCAUGCUAAAAGUAUUAUAUUUUUAUGAGGUUUAUUAAAGAUUAAGAAAUAAAGAAAAUGCAAAAUAAGAAAGCACGUGCCUAGGAGGGCAGAAAGGCCCAUUCAAUUUCACUUAUACUACAUCUUGAGAGAUGCGUGUGCUUGGAAGCGGAGGCAGGGAGAGAGAGAGAGCCAAAGUAGGUGGAGGGUCAGCUUAAAUACAAUUUCUGUUCUCGGCCCAGGUGAGGAACUCACCUGGGAUUAUGGGGAACUCUGGGAGCUACCAAGGACUUCUGGGAAUUGAAGUCCGGGGUCCAAAUCUCCAUUUUAAUAGGACCAUCAUAAUCUGCCCUGUUCAUCACAUACAAACAAGUGUUUUUAUAUAUGGAAAUAAGAGAGGUUCUGUGUACAGAGAAGCUAAAUGGUAACGUUUCCUUGUUGAAUAUCAUUGCUGUGUUAGGGCAAACCAUACCUCCUUUCUUAAUCGUUCAGUGAUUUUUGCAUCUGUCAUUUUAACCUAAUAGUGAAUGUGAAUUAAGAGAGUGCUAGCAUUAGGCCUAUCUCCAACAUCAGUCUUCUUGUUCUACUAGGUUCCUCUCUUUGUACUCUUUAUAAUACAAUUGCACUCAUGUUUUUGCUGUUUCUCACAUAGAGCAUUCCUGUCUAUUGUCACUAUGCCAUUGUAUUGGAUGUUCACCAUGCCUCGAUUUCUUCCCCUUUUUUAUGUGUUUUUUAAUUUUUUCAUUUAAAAUUUUGAAUUACUAAUUCUCUCCUACUCUCCCAACUUUCCCCUACAUAUUGAGAAAACAUAGUAUGAUACCUGUUGUUUGUGUGAAGUCAUGCAAAAUGUAUUUCUGUAUUAGCCAUAUUUCAAAGAAGGAAGCUACAAAGAAAAACAAAGUGAAAGAAAAAUAUGCUUCUCUCUACCCUCAGUUAAUCAGUUCUCUCUGGAUAUGGACAGCAUUUUUUUUUCAUAAUGAUUCUGACAAUGAGAAUUGUUGUGGAUCAUUGUAUUGAUUGGAGCUCAGUUUUUUCCUGGUUCUCUGCUCACUUUACUUUUUGUUAUUUCAUGUCUUCCCAGGUCUUUCUGAAACCACCUCUCCUGUUAUUUCAUACACCACAAUAGCAUUUCAUCACAACCAUAUAUCACAACUUUGUUUAACUAUUCCGUAGUUGAUGGACAUCUCUCUAAAUUUCCAACUCUUUGCCACUACAAAAACUCUUGUUAUAAAUUUUUUUUUUACAUUUGGGUCCUUUUCUCUUCCACCUUCUCCAGGAGGCUUUGCAGAUCUCCUUGGUUCUAGUACCUUUCUCUUCCAGAUUAUCUUCCUUCAGUGCGUAAUAUGAACCUAGUGUUUUUUUUUUUUAAUAUGCUAUCUUCCCCAUUAGCAUAUGAACUCCUUUGGGGCAGGGACAUCUUUUUCCUGUUUCAUCUUCUUUAAAUUGGUUAUUUCCCUGGUUGUCUCCAUAUUAGGCAUCCAUACCUAUUGAUAAUAAAGAAUUACUAAGUUCUUUAUCUAAAAGUAUAUCACUGAACCCAGGAUACUUGAGGAAGAGAGUGACUAUUUUACCUGUAGGUAGUGAACUAUGCAGGUAGACCACGGCAUUUCCAAGUCAUCAUUUUCUGUUACAUGGCUAAAUUCCUCUUAAACUGUCUACCGCUUGUCAGGAGGGAUGUGGCUUAAUGUAAAAGUUAAACUGGGUCUUUACGACUGUUAAACCAGUUCUAAUUGAUGUGAGGAUAAUUUAGGGUUGUGACAUAAUCUAAAUUUGAUUUUUGGUCCCCAGGGGAUAUCCCAAAUAAAAUACCCAAGUCAGUUUGGAAAUAUAUGGUGGUUUAAUUAAUCAAUAUAUAGGGAAGAAAUCAAGGAGAAAAGACAAGGAAAAGGUAUAGGAUUUCUCCCACCCAGCCUGUGCCAGGUGAGUUCAAAGUCCUCCGCCACAAGAUGCUUGAAGAUUAGAGACAUUCUCUAAGAGGAUAGUAUUUGGAAGGUAAAGGAGAGAAAAUCAGCCUAAACUCCAAGAGAUCUGAGAAGAGCCUCACCGAACUAGGUUACUAGGCUUCCUCCAGUAUGGUAUCAAGGAAAACUCACUGCUAAACCUGGACAAUAGCAGUUGACAUGCUCAACAAGCUGGUGCCAGCCACCUCUCCUCUGUCAAAGAGGCCAGAAAGAGGAAGUGAUGUGAUAUGUAGAUAGUUUUACAUCACUUUCCUGCAUCUCACAUGUACCAGUGAUAUCGUAGGCUUGGCUUAGGACACCCCAGGGGUCUGUCAGUUGUUUCUGAUUUGACAUUUGGUAGCACAUAUCUGUCAUAGGCCAUCCUCCUUAAUCCUUAAAUAUGGGUGUAGACAUUCCUGAUUUUGUUAGACUAAGUAGGGUGGAGUAAUCUCAAGUUCACAUUGAACAAUUAGGGACUUUUGCCAUAUAGCUUUAAAAACUGUUUUUUGCACAUAAUAGUAGCUCCAUAUAUGCUUACUGACUGAUUUGAAUAUGAACUCAUGGGUCAUUAUAGUAUUCAAGAUGUAAUACUUUUGUAGGGAUUUGGGCAUUUGGAUUUGGAUUCAGUGGUUUCUUCCUGCAUAUAAUCCUAGUUUUGCUACUUACUUGCAAUGGGUUUCUGGUUAAGCUACCUAACUGUUUUGGUCUCCAGUUUUCCUUUUCUAAUGAAACAAUAAGGUUGGAAAUUACUUAGUACAUGGCUUUAAUGACUUUAGUAUUCCUUCUGUGUUGUUUAGUCUACUAUUUUGGUACAGUGUAGACAGAUUGGUUUUCCGGAGCAUUGUUAAAGAAUUUGCCAUUCUUUUUUUUUAAUAGAGGUAUGUAAUCUUAAUGUAUUGAUCAAAUUCAUUUUCAUAAUUUUCUUAGUCCUUAAAAUUUUUAUAGAAAAUCAGUCUUUUAAACAGUUGCUUUUUUUUUUUUAUAAGCAUGGCAGUCUAGACAUGGGAUGCUUCCCCUCCUCAGUCCCACCUAUAUAGAUGACCUAAAAAGACCCCCCAAAACGAUUCUCAUAAGAAUUAAGGGACUCUACAGUAGGGUGCAGCAUUGAAGAUACAUUGGAUCUGGGCAUUUCCACACUAUAAGGGAGUGAAAAAGCUCCCACCCAAACUUGAGCUGAUUUACCCACCCCCACCCCACC